AUGAACGCUGGCGGCGUGCCUAAUACAUGCAAGUCGAGCGAACAGAUGAGGAGCUUGCUCCUCUGACGUUAGCGGCGGCCGGGUGAGUAACACGUGGAUAACCUACCUAUAAGACUGGGAUAACUUCGGGAAACCGGAGCUAAUACCGGAUAAUAUAUUGAACCGCAUGGUUCAAUAGUGAAAGACGGUUUUGCUGUCACUUAUAGAUGGAUCCGCGCCGCAUUAGCUAGUUGGUAAGGUAACGGCUUACCAAGGCAACGAUGCGUAGCCGACCUGAGAGGGUGAUCGGCCACACUGGAACUGAGACACGGUCCAGACUCCUACGGGAGGCAGCAGUAGGGAAUCUUCCGCAAUGGGCGAAAGCCUGACGGAGCAACGCCGCGUGAGUGAUGAAGGUCUUCGGAUCGUAAAACUCUGUUAUUAGGGAAGAACAAAUGUGUAAGUAACUAUGCACGUCUUGACGGUACCUAAUCAGAAAGCCACGGCUAACUACGUG
rnacentral:rRNA from 1 species